UACGUAGGGUGCAAGCGUUGUCCGGAAUUAUUGGGCGUAAAGAGCUCGUAGGCGGUUUGUCGCGUCUGCUGUGAAAACUCGGGGCUUAACCCCGGGCCUGCAGUGGGUACGGGCAGACUAGAGUGCGGUAGGGGAGACUGGAAUUCCUGGUGUAGCGGUGAAAUGCGCAGAUAUCAGGAGGAACACCGGUGGCGAAGGCGGGUCUCUGGGCCGUAACUGACGCUGAGGCAGCGAAAGCAUGGGGAGCGAACAGG
rnacentral:rRNA from 1 species